rnacentral:rRNA from 1 species
GAUGAACGCUGGCGGCGUGCCUAAUACAUGCAAGUCGAGCGAACAGACGAGGAGCUUGCUCCUUCGACGUUAGCGGCGGACGGGUGAGUAACACGUAGGUAACCUACCUAUAAGACUGGGAUAACUUCGGGAAACCGGAGCUAAUACCGGAUAAUAUUUCGAACCGCAUGGUUCGAUAGUGAAAGAUGGCUUUGCUAUCACUUAUAGAUGGACCUGCGCCGUAUUAGCUAGUUGGUAAGGUAACGGCUUACCAAGGCAACGAUACGUAGCCGACCUGAGAGGGUGAUCGGCCACACUGGAACUGAGACACGGUCCAGACUCCUACGGGAGGCAGCAGUAGGGAAUCUUCCGCAAUGGGCGAAAGCCUGACGGAGCAACGCCGCGUGAGUGAUGAAGGUCUUCGGAUCGUAAAACUCUGUUAUUAGGGAAGAACAAACGUGUAAGUAACUGUGCACGUCUUGGCGGUACCUAAUCAGAAAGCCACGGCUAACUACGUG